ensembl:rRNA 5S_rRNA 5S ribosomal RNA
GUCUACAGCCAUGCCACCCUAAAUGUGCCCGAUCUUGUCUGAUCUCGGAAAUUAAGCAGGGGGUCGGGCCUGGUUAGUGCUUGGAUAGGAGACCACCUAGGAAGAACCAGGUGCUGUAGGCG